CCUACGGGUGGCAGCAGUGGGGAAUCUUGCACAAUGGGGGGAACCCUGAUGCAGCAACGCCGCGUGGGUGAGGAAGUACUUCGGUAUGUAAAGCCCUAUCAGCAGGGAAGAACAUGACGGUACCUGACUAAUAAGCACCGGCUAACUACGUUACAGCAGCCGCGGUAAUAAGUAGGGGGCAAGGGUUUUCCGGAUUUGCUGGGUGGAAAGGGAGGGUCGACGGGUUGGAAAGGCAGGUGUGAAAGGCCGGUGGUCAAACCCGGGACUGCAUUGGAAACUGGCAUGCUGGAGUGCAGGAGGGGCAAGUGUAAUUCCAAGUGUAGCGGUGAAAUGCGUAGAUAUUAGGAGGAACACCGGUGGCGAAGGCGGCUUGCUGGACGGUAACUGACGUUGAGGCUCGAAAGCGUGGGGAGCAAACAGGAUUAGAUACCCGGGUAGUC
rnacentral:rRNA from 1 species